CGGGGUGGAGUAAUGUCUGGGAAACUAGCCUGAUGGAGGGGGAUAACUGCUGGAAACGGUAGCUAAUACCGCAUAACGUCGCAAGACCAAAGAGGGGGACCUUUGGGCCUCUUGCCAUCGGAUGUGCCCAGAUGGGAUUAGCUAGUAGGUGGGGUAACGGCUCACCUAGGCGACGAUCCCUAGCUGGUCUGAGAGGAUGACCAGCCACACUGGAACUGAGACACGGUCCAG
rnacentral:rRNA from 1 species